rnacentral:rRNA from 1 species
GAUGAACGCUGGCGGCGUGCCUAAUACAUGCAAGUCGAGCGAACAGACGAGGAGCUUGCUCCUCUGACGUUAGCGGCGGACGGGUGAGUAACACGUGGAUAACCUACCUAUAAGACUGGGAUAACUUCGGGAAACUGGAGCUAAUACCGGAUAAUAUAUUGAACCGCAUGGUUCAAUAGUGAAAGACGGUUUUGCUGUCACUUAUAGAUGGAUCCGCGCCGCAUUAGCUAGUUGGUAAGGUAACGGCUUACCAAGGCAACGAUGCGUAGCCGACCUGAGAGGGUGAUCGGCCACACUGGAACUGAGACACGGUCCAGACUCCUACGGGAGGCAGCAGUAGGGAAUCUUCCGCAAUGGGCGGAAGCCUGACGGAGCAACGCCGCGUGAGUGAUGAAGGUCUUCGGAUCGUAAAACUCUGUUAUGAGGGAAGAACAAACGUGUAAGUAACUAUGCACGUCUUGACGGUACCUAAUCAGAAAGCCACGGCUAACUACGUG